GACGAACGCUGGCGGCGUGCUUAACACAUGCAAGUCGAACGGAAAGGCCCUGCUUUUGUGGGGUGCUCGAGUGGCGAACGGGUGAGUAACACGUGAGUAACCUGCCCUUGACUUUGGGAUAACUUCAGGAAACUGGGGCUAAUACCGGAUAGGAGCUCCUGCUGCAUGGUGGGGGUUGGAAAGUUUCGGCGGUUGGGGAUGGACUCGCGGCUUAUCAGCUUGUUGGUGGGGUAGUGGCUUACCAAGGCUUUGACGGGUAGCCGGCCUGAGAGGGUGACCGGCCACAUUGGGACUGAGAUACGGCCCAGACUCCUACGGGAGGCAGCAGUGGGGAAUAUUGCACAAUGGGCGGAAGCCUGAUGCAGCAACGCCGCGUGCGGGAUGACGGCCUUCGGGUUGUAAACCGCUUUGGCCUGUGACGAAGCGUGAGUGACGGUAAUGGGUAAAGAGGCACCGGCUAACUACGUG
rnacentral:rRNA from 1 species